rnacentral:rRNA from 1 species
ACGGGAGGCAGCAGUGGGGAAUAUUGGGCAAUGGGGGAAACCCUGACCCAGCAACGCCGCGUGAAGGAAGAAGGCCUUCGGGUUGUAAACUUCUUUUACCAGGGACGAAGAAUGACGGUACCUGAAGAAGAAGCAACGGCUAACUACGUGCCAGCAGCCGCGGUAAUACGUAGGUUGCAAGCGUUGUCCGGAUUUACUGGGUGUAAAGGGCGUGUAGGCGGAGCUGCAAGUCAGAUGUGAAAUCCCGGGGCUCAACCCCGGAACUGCAUUUGAAACUGUAGCCCUUGAGUAUCGGAGAGGCAAGCGGAAUUCCUAGUGUAGCGGUGAAAUGCGUAGAUAUUAGGAGGAACACCAGUGGCGAAGGCGGCUUGCUGGACGACAACUGACGCUGAGGCGCGAAAGCGUGGGGAGCAAACAGGAUUAGAUACCCUGGUA